GGAGAGGUAGCCAAGCGGCUGACGGCAGCGGUCUUGAAAACCGCCAGAGUGAAAGCUCUCGUGGGUUCGAAUCCCACCCUCUCCGCCA
rnacentral:tRNA from 1 species